rnacentral:rRNA from 1 species
GUAGGAAUACCCGCUGAACUUAAGCAUAUCAAUAAGCGGAGGAAAAGAAACCAACAGGGAUUGCCUCAGUAACGGCGAGUGAAGCGGCAACAGCUCAAAUUUGAAAUCUGGCGCUUGCGUCCGAGUUGUAAUUUGUAGAAGAUGCAUUUGGUGAGGUUCCUUCCGAGUUCCCUGGAACGGGACGCCUUAGAGGGUGAGAGCCCCGUACGGUUGGAUACCGAGCCUCUGUAAUGCUCUUUCGACGAGUCGAGUAGUUUGGGAAUGCUGCUCUAAAUGGGAGGUAAAUUUCUUCUAAAGCUAAAUACCGGCCAGAGACCGAUAGCGCACAAGUAGAGUGAUCGAAAGAUGAAAAGCACUUUGAAAAGAGGGUUAAAUAGCACGUGAAAUUGUUGAAAGGGAAGGAUUUAUGACCAGACUUUUUCUGGGCGGAUCAUCCGGGGUUCUCUCCGGUGCACUUCGCCCAGUUUAGGCCAGCAUCGGUUUCUGCAGCUGGAUAAAAGCAGUGGGAAUGUGGCUCCCUCCGGGGAGUGUUAUAGCCCAUUGUAUAAUACAGUUGCGGGGACCGAGGUACGCGCUUCUGCAAGGAUGCUGGCAUAAUGGUUAUUAAUCACCCGUCUUGAAACACGGACCAAGGAGUCGAACAUUUAUGCGAGUGUUUGGGUGUUAAACCCUCACGCGUAAUGAAAGUGAACGGAGGUGAGAGCCCUUACGGGUGCAUCAUCGACCGAUCCUGACGUUUUCUGAAGGAUUUGAGUAAGAGCAUAACUGUUCGGACCCGAAAGAUGGUGAACUAUGCGUGGAUAGGGUGAAGCCAGAGGAAACUCUGGUGGAGGCUCGCAGCGGUUCUGACGUGCAAAUCGAUCGUCAAAUCUGCGCAUGGGGGCGAAAGACUAAUCGAACCAUCUAGUAGCUGGUUACCGCC